GAUGAACGCUGGCGGCGUGCCUAAUACAUGCAAGUCGAGCGAACGGACGAGAAGCUUGCUUUUCUGAUGUUAGCGGCGGACGGGUGAGUAACACGUGGAUAACCUACCUAUAAGACUGGGAUAACUUCGGGAAACCGGAGCUAAUACCGGAUAAUAUUUUGAACCGCAUGGUUCAAAAGUGAAAGACGGUCUUGCUGUCACUUAUAGAUGGAUCCGCGCUGCAUUAGCUAGUUGGUAAGGUAACGGCUUACCAAGGCAACGAUGCAUAGCCGACCUGAGAGGGUGAUCAGCCACACUGGAACUGAGACACAGUCCAGACUCCUACGGGAGGCAGCAGUAGGGAAUCUUGCGCAAUGGGCGAAAGCCUGACGGAGCAACGCCGCGUGAGUGAUGAAGGUCUUCGGAUCGUAAAACUCUGUUAGUAGGGAAGAAGAUAUGUGUAAGUAACUGUGCACAUCUUGACGGUACCUAAACAGAAAGCCACGGCUAACUACGUG
rnacentral:rRNA from 1 species